AGGUGUCCUAUGAGCAUUUUGAUCAAGAGGAUGAAUUAUAUCGAAACUAUAUCUGCAUGGAUUCUAAGGAUGUUGUUCUACGCAUUCAACCUAUCCGACCAUCGGGUACCAUUGCUAGAUGAUCAGUUCGAUUGGUACAAAAAUUUAUUUCUAUACUACCGACUUAGGUUCAGACCUAUGAGAUCACACAUAUUAGAGUUUACGAUC
rnacentral:lncRNA from 1 species